UUGUAAUGUAUAUAUCGUGCUCAUCUAUAUUGUAUAACCAAAGUAAAAAGUUAAAGGAAUAUUCGAACAACAAGUUAAAGGAAUCUUCGAACAAAUUUGUUGGUUUUUUACUCUACAAAUAGUGUAUACUAUUGAAAAAUAAACCAAGACCAGUUUCAUCAUUUCUAUUUUUCACAUCAUAUCUCGCUAUUUCUAAGAUACUGGUCCAGGAAGAGUGCCAAAGGUAACAAGCUACAAGCAGUUACCGAAAGAGUGUCAAAGAUUCUUUUAUUUUACAUUUGUUUCUGCAUUUAGCUUGUUCUAAUUUGUUUAUUCUUCUUGCUUUCACUAAAGUGGAAAAGGGGGAAAGUGAAGUCUCUGUUAUAUUGAUAUAUUUAAAGGCAUCUUGUGAUCUAAGAACUUGAGUAUCAAUGGUGUCGAUAGAAGGUGGGUGAGUCUUGGCCAGUCAAAGGUUUAUUUGUUGGACAUGUCGUAACGGAGAAUGUAAUUGCAGCUGCGGAGCAGGGCUGUGAAGCAAUCAAGCGUACAAACUACUCCUAACUACCUAUGUAGAGAUCCAUGCUAUGUAGCUUGACGUAUAUGCAGUGUACGCUCUAUGCAAGACUAUUUUUUGUUUUUAUUUUGUUUUUAGCUUAAUGCAUGCUUGGUGGCGGUUUGAAAAUGGCUGGUCGCGCUUGCUGCACUAUGCGAUUGUGUUAGAACUUCAUCAUUAAGCACCUCGAUGGAAUGGUGUUUCUACAAUUAUACCUAAGCUGUUAAAUUUCAAGAAAUUGGAUGUGAGGGUGGCCCUGGUGUGGGAGGCGGCGCGGCCUCGGCAGAAGGACCAGACGAAGUCCAGUGUGGCAGGGAGCAAGAAGGAAGGGAAAUUUUUUUGGGUCGAUUGUUGCUGUUCUGGGUUGGUUACCACAUCAACUAAGUUGUGUUCUCCUUUAAGCUCUCGAUCUCUUGACGGCGCUGCUGCUACUGGUGACAUGGUUUGAAAUAGGGCAUCUUGGGUAAUGAUUUGAUUACCAAAGAUUUCGAUUUGCUGUGAAGGGCACAAUUAUUUGAGCACGGAGGGCAACAAAGGUGCAUGGUCUCAUGAAGAGGGCAUUCUUUUAUGUGAGGUUCAUGGAUAUCAUGUGAUGGAUAUUCUCAUAUUUCUAUAAAUGGAUAUCAUUGAUCCCAUCCAUAAGUUUACAAAUGAUCAUCCACAAGCUUGAGUGAGCUCAAGCAGCAAGCAGCCAAUACGAGAAGACUUAGUAGUUCAUCUUUGUAUUAAGAUGCAACAAGCAUCUGCUAUGGUUUCUGAAACGGCACCAUUCUCUGCAAUGCAGCAAAAUAAUCUGGACAAACUUUGCUGAGUUUGGAUGGAAACAAAUAAAGUAAUGAGAAUUUAGAAUACUUUAUUUUGUGGCAAUCUUUGUGAAUUUGGUAUGUUUUCCCAUGCCUAAUCAGACUUUGAUAUUUAGGUCUUUGGGCUUA